rnacentral:rRNA from 1 species
UUCUGGACAGUACUGACGCUGAGAUGCGAAGCGUGGGGAGCAAACAGGAUUAGAUACCUGGUAGUCCACGCUGUAAACGAUGUCGAUUUGGAGUUUGUUGCAUAGAGUGAUGGGCUCCGAAGCUAACGCGAUAAAUCGACCGCCUGGGGAGUACGGCCGCAAGGUUAAAACUCAAAUGAAUUGACGGGGGCCCGCACAAGCGGUGGAGCAUGUGGUUUAAUUCGAUGCAACGCGAAGAACCUUACCUGGUCUUGACAUCCAUAGAAUUCUGCAGAGAUGUGGGAGUGCCUUCGGGAACUAUGAGACAGGUGCUGCAUGGCUGUCGUCAGCUCGUGUUGUGAAAUGUUGGGUUAAGUCCCGCAACGAGCGCAACCCUUAUUCUUUGUUGCCAGCGAUUUGGUCGGGAACUCAAAGGAGACUGCCGUUGAUAAAGCGGAGGAAGGUGGGGACGACGUCAAGUCAUCAUGGCCCUUACGACCAGGGCUACACACGUGCUACAAUGGCGUAUACAAAGGGAAGCGAAGGUGCGAGCUGGAGCGGAUCUCAUAAAGUACGUCUAAGUUCGGAUUGGAGUCUGCAACUCGACUCCAUGAAGUCGGAAUCGCUAGUAAUCGUAGAUCAGAAUGCUACGGUGAAUACGUUCCCGGGCCUUGUACACACCGCCCGUCACACCAUGGGAGUGGGUUGCACCAGAAGUAGAUAGCUUAACCGCGAGGGGGGCGUUUACCACGGUGUGAUUCAUGACUGGGGUGAAGUCGUAACAAGGUAACCA